AGUGAACGCUGGCGGUAGGCCUAACACAUGCAAGUCGAACGGCAGCACAGUAAGAGCUUGCUCUUACGGGUGGCGAGUGGCGGACGGGUGAGGAAUACAUCGGAAUCUACUUUUUCGUGGGGGAUAACGUAGGGAAACUUACGCUAAUACCGCAUACGACCUACGGGUGAAAGCAGGGGAUCUUCGGACCUUGCGCGAUUGAAUGAGCCGAUGUCGGAUUAGCUAGUUGGCGGGGUAAAGGCCCACCAAGGCGACGAUCCGUAGCUGGUCUGAGAGGAUGAUCAGCCACACUGGAACUGAGACACGGUCCAGACUCCUACGGGAGGCAGCAGUGGGGAAUAUUGGACAAUGGGCGCAAGCCUGAUCCAGCCAUACCGCGUGGGUGAAGAAGGCCUUCGGGUUGUAAAGCCCUUUUGUUGGGAAAGAAAAGCAGCAGGUUAAAACCCCGCUGUUCUGACGGUACCAAAAGAAUAAGCACCGGCUAACUUCGU
rnacentral:rRNA from 1 species